ACCGAAGACGUCUUCGGUCCGGCUCAUAUUCAAAGGACGUCUCAAAAUAAAGAAGACGUCUUCGGCCCCCUCAUAUUCCAAGGACGCCACAAUUUCCUUGGACGCCACUUUCUCUGGAUUCUUCACACCCCGAUGCACAAAGGGUUUCUUCUCUUCUGUUUUAAAUCUGCUGUUUAUUGGAUGUGCUGUUCGAAAUUUUCUCUAUGUUCCAGGUUGAAAGUGUGGUGGUUAUCCUUUUGAAUGAUUUAAUUUGUUGGGAGUUUGGUUUUCUGGCUUGUUUAGAUCUGUAACAGAUCUAGGUUUUCUGGCUUGUUUGGAUCUGUUGGUUUUCUGGUUUGUUUGGAUCUGUAACAGAUCUGCCAUAAAUAUAUGGUUCUCUCUAUUUUCAAGCCACUGACUCUUUAUCUUUUUCUGUUGUUUUAUUCAUGGCAGGACUCUCACCUGGAAGUUAAGGGUGAUAUUUUCGUCUCUCCCAUCUCUCUUAUCAAAAGAGGGCCUGAAAGCUCUAGCUAGAAGGAAAAAAGAAAGAAGAGAUGCCAUGAAAGAAUUUGAUUAUUUGAUGUGUGGUUGAGAAAUUCAGCUGAUAUGAAACUGACAACAGUCCUUCUCUUCUCCCUCACCUAGUCUGGUUUUUUGUUUUUGUUUUUGUUUUUGUUUUUUUAAUCUCAGAAAACAACUCUCACCUGGUAAAGGGUGAUAUUUUCGUGUCUCUCAUCUCACACCACAAAAGAGGACUUGAACGUCCUAGAAUGAAGAGAAAAAAAAGAAUUGUUCUAGAUUUGUAAUUUUCAUGGGAGUGAUUGGCAAAAACAAUAAUAGAUGUUUGGUUCUCUCAAUGUUCCAGCCAUUGACUGUUUAUCUUUGUCUGUUUUUAUAUCGAUCAUCAUGGCCUCGGAACUCCAGGACGUCUUUUUCCUAUUUUUUCAUCUACCGCUCAGACGUGCACCCCAAAGGAGGUCUUGUUCUAGAUUUGUAAUUUUCAUGGGAGUUAUUGGCAAGAUACAUAUGGCUAUGUUUAUACUCUUAAUGAUUUGAUUUUUGAGUUGACUUUCUCGAGUUUUUCUGUUUGUGCUGAAAAAAAUAAAAAAAAUACAGCCUUUUGGAUGUCAUUUCAGAUAAAUUUUUGAUCUUUGGAUUGUGAUCUCCAAUCUCUUUGUUGAUAUUCAGCGCAUAAAAUUCAUUAAUUUGACAGAUAAAGUUUUGACUAAUUGAUUCUUUUUUGUUGCCUUGAAUUUCUACAUAUGCUGGAUAAAACAUUUGAUGAUGGCUAAAGAUACCAGGUGGGUGGAAACUCUGUACCAUAGCAUGUCCUUGUGCCAGGAACUUCUGAAUAGUACUGGAACCUCAUGUUGAAGAAACUGCUAAGUAGCUUCCUGAAGCUAAAUUUUCUGUAGGACCAGUGGUUCAGAAACACUACGCUUUUGCUUGGGUAGUUACUGGACAAAAUGCUUUCAAUCACUAUUCUCUAUCCAUUGCCUGAUCUAAAAGAUGCAAGGGACUGGUUGAAUCUCAUGCGUGACAAAUGGCUUGCAGUUGGAGACAUAAUUGUUUUGACGAAGGAAGCAUUUGGAGAACAUGGAGGGAAUGGCAGGACAUGGAUGGUUUCUCCCUGCUACUGGAGUACUGGCCACAAUUAUCCAAUUGAAACCUGAAACUCUCACUCCAUCUAUUAUAAACGAUGCUAUCAUAACCAUGGCUGUUGUUGCUGUGCUCAUCCAUGUUGUAUGCAGUGCAUUUGAAGAUAUACUCGAAGCUGGUCACUUCAGAUUAAUUGCUGCCGGCACCGGUCAUCUGGCCAGAGCUCUUGCCAUUACUCUACUACUCAUAAUCUGCGUCCCAAAAAUUUGGUGGUUUCUUCUUUCCGCAUGGGUGUUGUUCUUUAUAUGGGUAACAUAUACUUUACUAUACAAUGCAGUUCACCUUCGUCAACGCCACGGCCAAGCCCAAGAGCCAAAUGAGUUGCCGAAUGAGUUGCCCUAAGAGCCAAAUAAUGAGUUGCCGAAUGAGUUGCCCUAAGAGCCAAAUAAUGAGUUGCCAGUGUAACCAUACCGAGCCCUUGAAGAGAUUCAUUUGUGUGUUCAGAAUCAUUUGUGUGUUUCUCACUGGUCGACGUCUAUAUCCAUUGAAGAGAUUCAUUUGUACGGUCGAUGAAAGACAGUUGUCUAUAUAUAUAUAAUUGCGUGGUGUGAUUGAACUUACAAGUGCUAUUUUUACCAGUAUGACCGCAACUUGGUAACGUUAUCUGUAAUAUAUUGUUUGAAUACCUGCUUUAAGAAAAAGAAAAUAAUCCAAAAGUAUGUAGAA